ACUCAAAUGAAUUGACGGGGACCCGCACAAGCGGUGGAUGAUGUGGAUUAAUUCGAUGCAACGCGAAGAACCUUACCUGGUCUUGACAUGUACGGAAGACUGCAGAGACGCAGUUGUGCCUUCGGGAACCGUAACACAGGUGCUGCAUGGCUGUCGUCAGCUCGUGUCGUGAGAUGUUGGGUUAAGUCCCGCAACGAGCGCAACCCUUGCCAUUAGUUGCCACCAUUUAGUUGGGCACUCUAAUGGGACUGCCGGUGACAAGCCGGAGGAAGGUGGGGAUGACGUCAAGUCCUCAUGGCCCUUAUGACCAGGGCUUCACACGUCAUACAAUGGUCGGUACAGAGGGUAGCCAAGCCGCGAGGUGGAGCCAAUCCCAGAAAACCGAUCGUAGUCCGGAUUGCACUCUGCAACUCGAGUGCAUGAAGUCGGAAUCGCUAGUAAUCGCAGGUCAGCAUACUGCGGUGAAUACGUUCCCGGGUCUUGUACACACCGCCCGU
rnacentral:rRNA from 1 species